GCAGCCGGCCAAAGCCUCCAAUAGCCCGCACCGCCCAAUCGCGAGCCAAUGGCUGCUGACAGCAGGGUCCUGUUAAAUCAACUAGCAGAUGCUCCUCUCCUUCCCCAAAACCAGCCGUGGAGCGCUGCCGUUCUUCCCCAGCGCGCAGAAGCCCCUGGCAGUCGCUCUGUUCUUCCAUUUCCUGGCCACCAGGCUUCUCACGCACGCAAGCACUGCUCCUGGCGCACCCGCAGAGCAGCCAAUGGCCUACAGCCGCUCCUUUCAACCAGUGCCGAGCGACCGUGCCUUCAGCCAAUGGAAUUCCAGCGAUGCCUCGUUAAAUCAUCCCUGCACUCUCCCUCUCCCUGUCUUCUCUCCCACACGGCGUUGCAGCAGGGAGCCCUUUCCCCAGCGCGCAGGAGCAAGGCCUCCAUGGGCGCGCGACCCCUCGGCUGUCCAGCAGGAAGUUUGGUGCCUCCCUCUGCCUCCUAUACAGCGCGCACCCCUGGUCCUGGUGUGUUUCUUUUUUUUCUGUCCGGCCAUGGAUUUCCUCGGCACCAUUCCUUUGAUUCGAGUGGGGGGGUUCGGCCUCAAGCCAGCAUGAGUCAGUGACCUCCCUGCUCGGCCAUGGCUGCGCCAUGAGCAUCUAGUGCCCCUCCCCCUCGACCUCCCUGCUUGGCAAGUGUCUAGCCGACGCCCAACUCGGCCUCGUCGUCGACCUUGCCCAGCAGCGACAGUCCGCCCCGGCACUCACCAGUGCCAAGAUCCACUGCGCCCUCUCCUUCCUUGAAGCCGUGGUGCUUGGUGGCCUCGCCUUGGCGCUCGACACCCCCAAUGGCUGAGCAGACCCCUCUGCUCCCUCAGGUCAGCGCCCUCCCUGACUCUUCUCCAUGGUGUGCUCAGCUCUCCCAUCCAUGGACAGUACCACCCCCUCCCUCCACUUCGGCUGAAGCAUAAACAACUCCCCUGCUCCUCCUCGCCGGUACGCCAUUAAGCCUGCAGCAGCAGCCUCGGAUCCCCUCCGCAUCGAGAGCAGCCGCAUCGUCGAUCCGUGCAACCUCGACGUCUCCGCGUCUCGCUUCGCCGUCGAUCUGCGCAUGCAGCCCCCGUCGCAAUGCCGUCAAUCCGCGCUAGCUAUCGGUGUCGUGCCUCGUGCUCUACCUACGGGACGAAAUGCUAGCCGGUGGACAGCACAUGCGACUCACCGAUCUAGCCAGGACCGAGAGAGGAUGAUCGUGCAAGUGAUGUGGUGUCAACCAAAAGGUGCAGUCAGGUGGAUGACCUGAAGAAUGAUGGACAUAACCAGUGGAUGCUCGCCAAGCGAGUACCUCCCCCAGCAAACACUAUCUAAGUGUCAAAUUAAAG